rnacentral:tRNA from 2 species
GGGCACGUAGCUCAGUCCGGAAAGAGCGUCGGACUUCUAUCAUCCGACGGUCGUGGGUUCAAAUCCCAUCGUGCCCG